AUUGAACGCUGGCGGCGUGCUUAACACAUGCAAGUCGUGCGGUAACAGGCGUAGCAAUACGUGCUGACGAGCGGCGAACGGGUGCGUAAUACAUGGGAAUCUGCCUUUUAGUGGGGAAUAACCCGGCGAAAGCCGGGCUAAUGCCGCAUAAGAUCUUCGGAUGAAAGCGGGGGAUCGUAAGACCUCGCGCUGAUAGAUGAGCCCAUGCCGGAUUAGCUAGNGGUGAGAUAACGGCUCACCAAGGCGACGAUCCGUAGCUGGUCUGAGAGGACGGCCAGCCACACUGGGACUGAGACACGGCCCAGACUCCUACGGGGAGGCAGCAGUGAGGAAUAUUGCGCAAUGGGCGAAAGCCUGACGCAG
rnacentral:rRNA from 1 species